GUUAGGGGAUCGAAGAUGAUCAGAUACCGUCGUAGUCUUAACCAUAAACUAUGCCGACUAGGGAUCGGGUGGUGUUCUUUUUUGACCCACUCGGCACCUUACGAGAAAUCAAAGUUUUUGGGUUCUGGGGGGAGUAUGGUCGCAAGGCUGAAACUUAAAGGAAUUGACGGAAGGGCACCACCAGGAGUGGAGCCUGCGGCUUAAUUUGACUCAACACGGGGAAACUCACCAGGUCCAGACACAAUAAGGAUUGACAGAUUGAUAGCUCUUUCUUGAUUUUGUGGGUGGUGGUGCAUGGCCGUUCUUAGUUGGUGGAGUGAUUUGUCUGCUUAAUUGCGAUAACGAACGAGACCUUAACCUACUAAAUAGUACUAUUAGCGUUUGCUGAUUUGGGACUUCUUAGAGGGACUAUCGGUUUCAAGCCGAUGGAAGUUUGAGGCAAUAACAGGUCUGUGAUGCCCUUAGACGUUCUGGGCCGCACGCGCGCUACACUGACGGAGCCAACGAGUAUAUCCUUUGCCGAGAGGUACGGGUAACCUUGUGAAACUCCGUCGUGCUGGGGGAUAGAGCAUUGCAAUUAUUGCUCUUCACGAGGAAUUCCUAG
rnacentral:rRNA from 1 species